rnacentral:rRNA from 1 species
AUUGAACGCUGGCGGCAGGCCUAACACAUGCAAGUCGAACGGUAACAGGAAACAGCUUGCUGUUUCGCUGACGAGUGGCGGACGGGUGAGUAAUGUCUGGGAAACUGCCCGAUGGAGGGGGAUAACUACUGGAAACGGUAGCUAAUACCGCAUAACGUCGCAAGACCAAAGAGGGGGACCUUCGGGCCUCUUGCCAUCGGAUGUGCUCAGAUGGGAUUAGCUAGUAGGUGGGGUAACGGCUCACCUAGGCGACGAUCCCUAGCUGGUCUGAGAGGAUGACCAGCCACACUGGAACUGAGACACGGUCCAGACUCCUACGGGAGGCAGCAGUGGGGAAUAUUGCACAAUGGGCGCAAGCCUGAUGCAGCCAUGCCGCGUGUAUGAAGAAGGCCUUCGGGUUGUAAAGUACUUUCAGCGGGGAGGAAGGGAGUAAAGUUAAUACCUUUGCUCAUUGACGUACC